CAAGAGCAGAAAUGGCAGCGGGCACUCCCAGUGCCUUCAUCAGGUAGUAUCGGUAGAUGAAAACCUCUGAGAGGCCGGUAAGAUGUCCUGGUGUAGGUGGAAGGCAAGGAGUUAGGAAGAGAUAAAUUUAGAAUACCAGCCUCAAGCAAGAUGGUUGGAGAGCCUUGCAAACAAAGCCGGGAAGAUUUGGCUUCGUUCUGUAAUGGAUGCAAAUGGAGCUGGUGAGGUACUCUCUCAUGCGAACCAGCGUUGGAAAUGCUACCGGAUAAUAGAAAUAUGUAGAUUUGAAGUGUUUCCCGCUUGAGGAGGAGGUGUGAACGAAGUGAGGCGGUGCUCACUGCAAGGGGACAUUCUUGGCCUUUCUUGUUCUUCGUCUUCGUAUUGUGACACUUACAUCCUCCAUCCGUAUUGGAUAAUCAAUAUUGGCCGUCAGCGGAUUGUUUCUCCCUCUUCCCACUGGCCUGCCAGAGUUAAAUACCACAGGUACAGAAAUCAGCCCACUUUUAUUGUCCACCAGUCUGUCUCAUACACACGAAUGUCUGGAAAAGAGUUAAUACUUAAUCACCACCAGUUAUCAGCCCUUCGGGGUUUCUGCGUUUCAAGUCUGUCAGUUGAUUUGGGGCCUGAAGGCUUGCGCUGACAUGUUGCUGACAGAGGACUAUGCUAGUGGAGAUUUGUCUCUGCAACCUCUCAAUUCUAGAAGCUGUGUUAGGCUUCCUAUGUGUAGAGAUAUUUGGUCAUUCUCAGAUUUCCGACAGGGUUGAAGACUGAUUAUAGUCUCAUAGUAUAUCAGGUUAUUUAACUCUGAAAAAAUACAUAUUUUAUUAGAUAGUUAUCAGAUAGUAUACAAGCUAGCUAAGAUAUGGCAUAGGUUUUAAGCAUUUCUUAAGCUGGAAAUGGAUAGCUAAAUGUUCUGUUCAACUGAUAAAGUGUUGGACAGGGUGUUAGUUAUAUUUUAGAGUUUUAACUACAAAAUGAUAACAGUCGUGCUCAGCUUAUAUUUGAGAGAAAAGUUGUUUUUUAAUUAGAUAAAAAAGGGUGUGACGUAGGAUGUCAUACAGGUGAGGGUGAGUACAAGAUAAAACAAGGCCUGUCAUUGGAUUAGAAGGAAGGGUGGGCGGGAGAAAAGUUUUAGAGAGGGGAGGAGACUGGAGCGAGGCAGAAGCAGCAGAGAAGGUAUGGAGGCUGAUGUUAAGAUUCCUCUCUGCACAUUUACAGGUUGUUAGGAAUGUUUUUAAGGGAUGGUUUUGUACAGGGAUUUGUAUGUCUAGAUGGGCAAGUAUAUCUUAUCAAUUGGAUCAGAGGUUAUUGUGUUGUGUGUUCUUUCAUGUGCAGAUUUAAGUGUAAGAGAGUAUGUGACAGCCAAAGACGCUAGGCCACCACGGAACUGAGAUGUAUAUUUCUGACAUGGUGACAACCUGCCUUGGGAACUGGAUGGGUAGAAAGAUUGCUGCCAGGCUCAGAGAGAGGCCAUCAGCAGUGUGAUAUGGGAUGGAGCAAAGUGGGUGAGAGGCUUUGCUGACUGAGAUGAAGAUAUCUAGCAGAUAUCUUGGGGCACUGAGGUGCUGGACCUAGUGCAGAAUAAAAGACAUCGUUUUUAAAAUUUUGCAGCAGCAGGUUGGCGAAAGAGCAUGUUGUGCUACCUAUUUUAUAGAUAAAGAAACUUAGAUUAAAAGGGGUGUGUGUGUGUGUGUGUGUGUGUGUGUGUGUGUGUGUAUGCAAAUUUUAUACUGCUAGUCAGUGUAAUGGGACAUGUGUGUCCACAGAUUUUCUCAGGUCUCAAAUUUCUGACUCAAAGGCCAUGCUCUUUCUGAGCACCAGUGUGUGUGUGUGUGUGUGUGUGUGUGUGUGUGUGUGUGUCUGAGUAUACAUGUGCACAUGCCCACGUGCAUUGUUCAACUUUAGUAAGACAAAUGAUGGAGAGACUGAGGGAGAAAAAAAGAACUGAAACACAAAUGUAGUCUGUGUCUCUCUCAUCUUCUCAGAAGGUGUUUGUUACCAGUGUAUGCACCAACAAAAUGGGUCGUGUGUAACCUGUUUAAGGCUCUGGACAUAAUGACAAAGUAAGGGUGUUUGUGGAUCUGGGUUUGGGCUUAUGGUUUCAUAAUCUUGUUUGUUUGUGCUUUGAUUUUUUUAAAUGAAUGACUGAAACACCAGGUGAUCUUUUUCAGAAUAACUCUUGUAAUCUAGUCUUAUCUUACGACUUCUUUUAAUGGUACAUCAGACAGUAAGAUUAAAUUCCAAAUGGUUUGAUAGUCAGAAACCCUCAGGUAUAUAUUAGAUAUAAUUUGAGUCAUUUAGUUUUUGAAGUUAAUAAGCGUGUGUGUGUGUGUGUGUAUGUGUGUGUGUGUGUGUGUGUGUAUAUGUGUGUAUGAAUUAAAUAUUGUACCUGAAACAAUGUAUAACUAACUGUCUUUGGAAUGGAGGCAGAGAAAAUACAGUUUUCCUAAGACCUGCUUUGCUAGAGGUCUUUCCAAACCCAAACCUUUUAAGUGGCUCAUUUUCUUCAGGAUCUUAUAAUAGUAAAAACGUACUUCAAGUUUCUUCAAAGCUUGUGACUCCACAUCUUUCUUGGGAUAAAUCUUAAAAAAAAAAAAAGAAAAAAGAAAACAUAUUUCUUUUCUUUGGAAGAUACUGAGAAUCUGGCUACCUGGAACAUUUUUUAAAGUGCCUCAAACACAAACUAAGGUAGCGGCUGGUAUUGGCUGUGUUAAUGCCAUCCACCUUAAAGAUACACAAUCUCCUAAUCCACCUUAAAGAUACACAAUCUCCUAAUCCACCUUAAAGAUACACAAUCUCCUAAUCCACCUUAAAGAUACACAAUCUCCUAAUCCACCUUAAAGAUACACAAUCUCCUAAUGCAGGAUGGAUCACAGUGCUUACCCAAAUCUCAAGUGCACACAUUACGUGUCAGUAUUUGGCCUGGGGAAUAGUUUAGUGGUAGAGGGCUUGUUCCUCGUGUGUAAGGCACUGAGUAUGAUACCCAACACUGAAAAUAACAUGUUUCCACUUAAAUAUCUGCAAUUACAUUUCUUGAGAGAUCUCCGUUCCACAAAUAGUACAAAGCCAAACUACUGUCCCCAUGCUUGCUUCUUCAGAGGCUUGGGCUCUGGGCUAUCCCCUAGGGAAGCAAGUUGCGGUCAAUGCCUUGAAGAUAACAAGAAAGGAACCAUAGGUCAAGCUUCAAGGUUUUGAAAGGUGGAGGGGAUUUCAGAGGAGGGAUAAGUACGCUGUGAGGAAGGUACUGCUGGUCUGUUUAACAAGUGAGACACACAUCUGUGGUCGGCACUGCUCGCUCCACAAUAGAACAUUAGAAUAAGAGAACAUCCAUUCUCCAUUUCUCUAUGUUCAAGAACAUUGUUUUCCCCCAGAAUCCAUUUAUCCAGUCCUCAUAUCGCUUGAGGAGAGUAAACUCCAUCCUGCCCCAAGUGGUGACUACUACAUCUUGACAGUCAAGAUAGAAACUCCCACAUUUCUCUUCCAAUCCCACUGGCAGAGCUGGGGUUGUGAAAAACUCCCUUCUUUUUAAAACAAAGACACUGAAGAUAGUGGACAGCAGACAUGAUGCAGUUUUAUUUAUUUUUUUCACACUUGGAAGCUGGAAAUCAAGAUUAAAGUGUUUACAGAAUUGAUUUUUCCUAAGGCUUCUCUUCUUGAUGUAUACAUGGCUGCAACUGCCUUUGUUCACACAUGGUCUAUCCCGGUGUUCACAGGGGUCCCUGAUGGGUAUAUUUUGCAUGUCUUAACAUUUUCCUUUUAUAAGAAUAUCGGUGAGAUUGAAUCUUGACUCUUAUUUUAACUUAACUAUUUAAAGGUCCCCAUCUCAAAAUAGUAUGCCACGGUGAAGGGCUUCGGUAAUUCUGAUAUGAUUCAUACACAAUCGAGUCUACGACCCCAAAAGCAGUUGACUAACCAACAAGGAAAGGGGUUUUCGGAAAGGACCUGAGUUCCGAACACAGGCCGGUAAAGAUCCUAUAGUGUGUCAGCAAGUUGAGCUGGCAUCUACUCUAAGUUGAAGUGGAAGGUAUCAACCUUUAAUAUAAGAACACAGAACACACGAGAAAACUGUUUAUGCCAUCCCUAUUUUUAGACUGGAAAGCUUUACUAGUUGCUCUGUAACAUGAGGCUACAGGAGUGUUUCUCAUUUCUGGGGAGGCAGAGAAGCAUCCUCUUACACCAUUCAUUCCUCACAAGGCUCAGGAUAAGCAGAGACAGAUUCAAAAUGGGUCAAAGUAGGAAGCUUAUGUUUGAAAGCCAGUUUUUCAUCCCUUUUAUACAAUUGCUUGCUCUCGUGGAAAUCAUGAAAUGCAAGGAUUUCUCUUUGGGCAAGGCCUUAUGUUAGAAAAGCUAGCAAGCAGGCUCAGAAGGAUUUAAGCUAAGCCAAGUUGUAUGGAAUGUUAAUUUUUACUGGUUUAAUAAAAAAAAAUAACUAUCUUGCACCCGUUUAGGCUGUGCACAAACUUUUUUAUUCACAUAAAUGAGUUCACCAAGUGCUGUAGCUUGCUUCACAAAGACUAAGCUGAAUGUUCUUUGAUCAAAUAAACAGCAGGAACGGAAUCCAAAGUGAGGCCUCUUGUUGCCAUAGGCAGUCCUCACAGGAAGCGUGUAAACAAACACAGAGGCACGCCCAGCAUGAUUCGUUCACCAGGUGGUGCUCAUGUUUGGUCAGUGGUAACGAAAAACGAAGGUGGGGAAAUUUCAUUCAUCUGUAAGAGAAACCAAAGAUGUAAAUGGAAAAUACCAUGAAAUUUCUAGAGUUUUACAAAGGGGGCAUUUGAAAUGCGCUGUCUCAAAACACAUUUUCUCGUGUACUCUUUUUUUUUUUUUUAAACCAGCAGGUGAUGAGGGUUUUUUCUUCAAAGCAAAAAGAGAACAAACUCUGGAAACUCGCUGGCUCUGCUGGCCAGGGAGUUAGAGAGCAACUUGACUCGUCGUUAAAUAUCUCCAAAAUGCUUUAUUGAGGAGAGAAAGGUGUCCCGUGUGUGUGUGUUGGGCCUGAAAAGACCAGAAGAGUGUCUCAUCCUUUAAACCUGGAGUUGCAGAAGGCUGGUGGCUGGUAUGUGGGCUCUGGAAAUCAAACCUGGAUUUUUUUGUGUGAGAGCAGAGAUAACCACUAAGUUGUUGCUGUAGCCUCUGUGGUACAGUUUUCUAAUGGCUGAAAGCACUUGAAACGACUGCAUUAUUUAUUGCUCAGCACACACACAUGUAAGGGUAAAGCCACACGUGUACAUGGUCAAUAUGAAAUUAGAAAAGUUGUUCAUUGGAUGUAGAUCUCUCCUGAGAGACACACCCAGAAUAUAGCAAAUACAUAGGCGAAUGCCAGCAGCAAACCACUGAACUGAGAACGGAACCCCCGUUGAAGGAAUCGGAGAAAGGACUGAAAGAGCUUGAAGGGGGUUGAGACUCCAUAUGAACAACAAUGCCAAGCAACCAGAGCUUCCAGGGACUAAGCCACUACCUAAAGACUAUACAUGGACUGACCCUGGGCUCCAACUGCACAGGUAGCAAUGAAUAACCUAGUAAGAGCACCAGUGGAAGGGGAAGCCCUUGGUCCUGCCAAGACUGAACCCCCAGUGAAUGGAAUUGUUUGGGGGGAGGGCGGUAAUGGGGGGAGGACGAGGAGGGGAACACCCAUAUCGAAGGGGAGGGGGAAGGGUUAAGGGGAUGUUGGCCUGGAAACUGGGAAAGGGAAUAACAACUGAAGUGUAAAUAAGAAAUACCCAAUUUAAUAAAGAUGGAGAAAAAAAAGUUGUUCAUACUGGAAAUAGAGAAAAAAAACUAUUCAGAGAAGAAGAAUAUAGAAAUAUUUGAUUAUGUUUGUGAUAUUUACAUUUUUGCAUCAAGUGCUGGACUCUGGGCUGUUUCUUACAGUGCUUCUACGUUUGCACAUUUCUGAGACAUCCCAUAAUAAAAAAAGUUUAGAGAAACCAAGA